CUUCCUCUUGAGGUUUAGCGCGCGUUGCUCACACACUGACAGAAAUAGGUUGGCUCGCAUUAAGAAGAAGUAGCCCCUCUUAAAACAAGCAAACAAACAAGCGAGCGCGCAGAACAGGCGGUGUCACAUCCGCAGCGGCUCCUAAUUUCAGACUCUAGAGGUUAAUUGCCUCCCGUCGCUUCAAAGGCGAGUUUUGAUGUGCGUUUUUGAGCGCUGUCUUUAGCCUAGCCAGAGAGGGGAGAGGAGAUGGGAGGGGGGCACUUGAGAAUUCACUGGCGGUAUAACAGCACAGACGUCUCCUCAGCAGGGCCCUGAGGUGGAGACCGCAGCCGGACGGGACUGCCGUGCGGCCUCGGAGAAAGUGCCGGGUAAUGUUUAACAGAAGGCGCACAAAGAAACGGACAGAUGACUCAGAUAAGGCAGAGGAAAAGCAGAAGUAAAGUGGAGAUUAAAUAAAAACACGGAUUACCGGAGGGUAUUAAAAUGACACAGGAGAUUAUACAGAUACUGUCCACGUGUGAGCAGGAUCUCAGAGCGAAGCGCACAUCAGCUACCCCAGCCCAGAAGAAGUCUGGCAGGGUCAGAUUUUAAUUUAUAUAGUUGUUUAAUUUACUCCCACUUACUUAAUUUAUUUGGAAUGCACCUAAAUGGAGGAAUCUUUCUCCCUGUCUCUCCAAAUGGGAUACUGGGAGGUGGCAGAAAGAGCAAUCAUCUGGUGACAGCUGUAGGAUAUUUCCAAGGGUCCCCUUAACAGAGUGCAGCUAUGAUCCUCUGAUUUAUAUCUAGUGGAUGCUGCGAACACAACUGGGAAUAUGAUGUAAUGUGUUAUGGUAAGUCAGGGCCCUUUUUUUAUUUUAUUUUUUUUAAAUUACGCCACUCACACCGGGUUUCCCUCCGCGGCACCUACAACGGGCCGAAGCCCCAGGCCUAGCGACCCGUCAGCCUGGAGAAAUGUGCGGCGGUACCGACGCUAAGCAGCCAACUCAAAUCUGUAACGUCACGUCUACAGUGGGAUUGCUGUCAGGGAGACGAAUGAGUUCAGCGUGCAGAGAUCUUUGAGUACUUCAUCUCAACGCAGUACCUCGGUCAAGUUUUCUUUCCCCAUGAGAGAUGUCUAUAUCCUCCCAAUUUUUAUUAUUAUUAUUAUUUAUUUUUUUAUUUUUAUCUUGUUUCAGUCUAAGCUAAAGAUUGGAUGCCAGGGAUCCUGGUGGAAUACCGGUGAGGGCAGGACACCCAGGAGCCCUGUUUGGGGGGUGAAGGGUGCCACGGUUCAUGGACAGGCCACAGGAAGUCCAGGAGUUCACCACACUGCCUCUACCCCCACACACAAUGGCGGUUUUCAUCAGCGAUCUGGCCUCUGUCUUUGGCCCUUCAUUAUCUUCGCCAAAAUUCAUUAGCAGGGCCUUGUGAGGACAUGAGCGAGCGGGAGCAAGACAUGCCCCGGGAACAAUAUCCAGCCUAAAUCUUACUGCGUUCUUUGACGGCAUGCAGUGAAGUGUAUGAGAGCCCCUCUCCCCUGCCAUCUUUUGAGCUGUGAUCAGUGUAGGACACAUCAAAAAGCACCUCCAUCUUGGCUCAUUUGUCAAACUUCUAGCACACUGCCAUUUAGUUUGCUGUUGCUAAGGCUCUUAUUAAUUAGGUACUGCUUCCAGUGGCAGUACAGUUAAUGUCACACUCGGAUUCUUUGAGCUACCGCCCCAUUGUGAUGUCACAGGAUAGCAUUAUCAGUAACGGUUAUAUUCUGUCAUUGACAUCUCCUUCCAUGGCUUGCGUGGGUGAGGAGAAAAUGUGUUAAGCAAAUUGUUUUGUGCUCCUUAACCUUGCAGGGAAACAUUUCUAUCAUUUGAUUUAAAGCUUCAUAUUGUUUUUGAAUUAGUUUUCCACCCAUCUUAGUAAGUUACCACAAUGGAAAAAGUAGUGCAUCUAUUUUCAACAGUAAUAUUGUAAAGUUGACAAAACAUAUUUCUGUGAUAGUAUGGUAACAAAACGCUACAAGGAAGAAACAAACACUGAAAAGGUAUAAUACUGUUGUAGUGUAACUGCCAGUGUAUAGUUACUUUUGGUUUGAAAUAAAACUUCCCCCGACUGGGUAAAUUGGA